rnacentral:lncRNA from 1 species
UAUGGGGUGAGAUAUGGGGUGAGAUAUGGGGGGAGAUAUGGGGUGAGAUAUGGGGGGAGAUAUGGGGUGAGAUAUGGGGUGAGAUAUGGAGUCAGAUAUGGGGUGAGAUAUGGGGUGAGAUAUGGGGUGGGAUAUGGGGUGAGAUAUGGGGUGAUAUAUGGGGUUAUGGGAUAUGGGGUGAGAUAUGGGGUUAUGGGAUAUGGGGUGGGAUAUGGGGGGAGAUAUGGGGUGAGAUAUGGGGUCAGAUAUGGGGUGAGAUAUGGGGUGAGAUAUGGGGUCAGAUAUGGGGUUAUGGGAUAUGGGGUGAGAUAUGGGGUGAGAUAUGGGGUCAGAUAUGGGGUUAUGGGAUAUGGGGUGAGAUAUGGGGUGAGAUAUGGGGUUAUGGGAUAUGGGGUGGAGAUAUGGGGUGGAGAUGGGGUUAUAGGGACGAGAUAUGGGGUGUCCCAUUGAGGUAAUAGGGUCCCAUUGAGGUUAUAGGGACGAGAUAUGGGGUGUCCCAUUGAGGUUAAAGGGACGAGAUAUGGGGUGUCCCAUUGAGGUUAUAGGGUCCUAUCGAGGUUAUAGGGACGACAUACGGGAUGUAGCUGACGUUAUAGGGUCGAUCUAUAGGGUGCCCCAUAGAUUGAGGCCCCGUCUGACCUGACGACCUCGGGCAGGUUGUGGUUGAUGGAGAAGAUCCCGUUCCUCAUCGGGGACGAGACCGGAACUUGUUUGAUGAUGACGUUGUCGGGGGUCUAUAGGGUCAGUAUGGGGCUGUCACCACCCUAUAGGGUCACCAUGGGCCCUAUAGGGUCAGUAUGGGGCUGUCACCACCCUAUAGGGUCACUAUGGGCCCUAUAGGGUCACUAUGGGGCUGUCACCACCCUAUAGGGUCACUAUGGGCCCUCUAGGGUCAAUAUGGGGCUGUCACCACCCUAUAGGGUCACUAUGGGCCCUAUAGGGUCACUAUGGGCCCUAUAGGGUCAGUAUGGGGCUGUCACCACCCUAUAGGGUCACUAUGGGCCCUAUAGGGUCAGUAUGGACCCUAUAUUGUCACUAUGGACCCUAUAGUGUCAAUAUAGACCCUAUAGUGUCACUAUGGACCUUAUAGGGUCUCUACAGACCCUAUAGUGCCCCCCACCCUAUAGCGCCCCCUAUAUGUCGUCACCCACCUUGACCUCCACGAUGACGGUCUUCAACAGCGGCUCCAUGAAGUGAUUGACAGCAAAGAGACGGCACAGAACUGAGGGGGGACAAUGGGGGGAGAUGGGGGGGGACAACGUGUGGGGCAGCCCCACAUGGAGCCCUGACCCCUAUAUAGGGGGUAAAGAACAUGGCCGCCAUAUUGGGGUACAAUAUGGGGUAGAACAUGGCCGCCAUAUUGGGGUCCAAUAUGGGGUGGGGUAGAACAUGGCCGCCAUAUGGGUCCAAUAUGGGGUAGAACAUGGCCCGCCAUAUUUGGGGUCCAAUA